rnacentral:tRNA from 2 species
GCCCCCGUAGCCCAAUCCGGCAGUGGCGAGCCACUUAAAAUGGCUGAGUUGUGGGUUCGAAUCCCACCGGGGGCA